UUUGUCGCUAAGAUUCGAC
rnacentral:snRNA from 1 species